GACAGCCUGCGCGGGCACAAGGUCACAGUUAGAGUGGCUCCUGUCCCUUCAGCCUCUCCACCCACGCCCCUUCCGCGCGCUCACCCUGAGGCACCUCCUCCAUUCGGCUGCCUUCGAUGUCUACGCGGUCACCGGACUACGCCUUACGUAUUUCCGUCUCCCCGCGCCCAAUUUGACUCUCCAGGCGCGCGAAGUCACACCGCUGCUAGCGAGGGAGCCAGAGGGAUGAACCUGGGCCGUGGGGCUUGUGAGCCUGCCGGGUCACCCAUAACACACAGUGACAGGUACCUCCGUACGAGCUGCUGGUGCCACCAAACUGCCAUGAUGCCAGUCGUCCUGGCACCCAGCCUGGCCAUCACAGUGGAUAACGAAGCAGCCACAAAGCAGAGGCCCAAGGCCAGCCCGCUUCUGAUCUUUCUUACUGAUGUCCCCUAAGACACUUCCGGCACGUUGCUUCCAGCUGUCUUCAGCAGCCCUGCGAUCUCUAAUUACCCAGGGGCCCUCCCACUCAGCCAGUUUCUCUGCUCCGAGGCAGGGAAGAAAGGUCUUCCACUCCUCAGUCCCUCCCUCCUCACUCCUCCCCAUAAGGCUGUAAAAACCAUCAUAUUCCACACUAGAAAGUAAAAUCAAGUAAACUUCCUCUCUGCUUUGCUCCAGAUCUCUGUCCUGCGAUCCCCGGCCAAACUCCUGUCUCACUGGGGAUGGAAUUUUCCAUCUGUGGGAGUGGGACCUGGAGGGCAGGAGUGAGGCUGCAGAGCAGAUUUCCAGGCCCAUCCUGACCUCCUGAAUCAGAAACUCAGGGACUGGGCUGGGGAAUCUGCUUCUUUACGCUCUCACCAGAUGGUAAUUUUAUGCACUAAAGUUUGAGAACCACUUCUGAAGAGGAGUACGUCUCAAGACUCUGUCCUUGGCCCACUUGUAGUCACCCUUUCCACAUCCUUCAUGUCUUCAGGCCUAACAAACUUCUAUCCACAACUCUUUCCUCAAACCACUUUCUCCUUCUGGAGUUCUUAUCUCAGAGAAUGGUACCCCCGCUGCCCUAAGAACUCAGGUCCGAAAUGUGAGCAUCAGACUUGCUUCCUUCUCACCAUCUCCCUGUAUCAGUUAGCACCUGCUGCGUAACAAGUCAUAAAUACAUGUAUAUGUAGGUAUAUAUGUAUACACACACACACACACACACAUAUAUAUACUGUGGUUAAAACAAAGGUUUAUUAUUUCUCAUGAGUCUUCUGGUUUUAUCUGGGCUCACUAAUGUGGCAUCAUUCAGGGUGGAACAGAGUAGAAGAUUCUCAUUCUCGUGUGUGCCUCUGUCUCCCUCGUGACCACUGUCUCUCCACAAAAAAUUCAGUGGUCUAGCCGAGCGCCUUUCCAUGGCAGCUGAACAAGGCUGAGAUCUGGUGCAGGGUCUCUUUCUCAUAUCGUACUGGUCAAAGCAAGUCCCAAGGACAGCCUGGGUUCCAGGGGCAGGGAAACAGAGGCCACAUCUAGAUGGGCAGAGUGGCAGGUGUGUAUAGAGAUGGCGGUACAGGCUGGCAGUCAUUGCUAGAAACGUUCAUGAUGUCUCCCUCCAUGUCCAAUCAGGCAUCAAGUCCCCUGGCCUCACUUCUGUGUGACGUGAUGGUGUAGUUCCCUAACUGGUCCCAGUAUGUCACCCCACUGUCAGCAAGUCCUCUGUUCUACCCCUAGACUCUGGGCUCAGGCAUGUGACUGACUUUGCUCGUGAAAUGUUAGCCAAAGUGAGCUAACAAAAAACAGGUACGAGCCUGCUCUCACUUUCUUCACUUGCCCCUCUGCCCUCACUAUGAGAACACCUCGUGGGCUACCCCGCGGGAGGGAAGACAUACGGGGCCAGGCUGAGCUACCUGGGGUGGUCUCAGCCAAGUCUGUCCCAAACCAGGGACCCUGAGACCCGGGAGAGUCCAGAGCCCCCUAUCCAGACCCGCAGGUGACCACCAGGUAUGUGAGUCCUGAAGAACCAUCCAGCCAACACACAGACUCAGGAGCUAAACAAACACUUCACUGUGUUAAGCCCCCAAGUUCGGGGUGGCAACAGACAGCUGACGCUACAUGGCAUCAUCACCCCAUGAACUUCAUCCAGACCCCGGUUCUCCUGGGCCUGCAGUGGUUUCUGGGUAGCCCCACUAGGCUAUGUGGCCACAACAAGCCUCCCCCAGCCUGUAGAGGCUCGAGGCAGCAGAGAUCAUUCUUGGCUCCGGCUACUGAACAGGUUCACGGGCACACACCUGCUCGUCGUUCCUCAGGGACACACAGGACAUAGGCCCUACCGUCUCACGUUGCCAUGGUCUGAGCACAUGCUCCACAGCUGGAGCACAUGACUUGUACGAUGCUUCUUCAACACAUCCCCCCCAGAAACGACCCCUAUGCACACACCUUCUAUCCAGAGAAUCGGUCACACCCAAAAGAGGCAUAGGGAGUAUGGUCCCUGGAAGGAGCAGAGACCAGGGAGUGGCUGGUACUGGACUGUCUCUCAUGGUUCCCCAGGGGGCUCCUCUGCUACACGUCAUACGGUCCUUUCCCCUCACAAUUCAGAUGGGUCACUCUGCUACUCAGGCACCUUCCCUGGCUCCCUAUGGCCCAAGCUAGCACCAAUCUUGAUACGGUUUUCAGUCCAGUUUAACCCCAUGACUCGGGUUACCCCUGCCACCCCAUUUUUGCUCUGUGCCACUGUGCACACCGAGCUCAAUCUAAAACUGAAUAGCAGGCUUUUCCUUGGCACCCCAGCCAUCCCUCUGCGGCUCACAGCAGUCCUUCACCACGACUGUCCUCCCUCUCUGGCCCUCCUCUGGGAUAGGUCACCUCUCUGCAUCAUCCCACGGGAAGCCGGUUCAGGCCCAUGGAAUCCACGGCCUUCUCCUUUCCUGAACACGGCAUGUUCCAGAAGUCUGAGCCCACUUUUCCAUUUUAGGAACCCAGAAAGUGUGAAUGCUGCAAACCUAAUCAGAACCAGCAUUUGAAAGUCUAUUUCUGUUUACAUCUCCUUUACAUUUAUUUAGUUUAGGGAGUUUGAUAGAUUUUAAAUUUAAAGUUUUUAUUUCGGUCCCCCUGACUGAAGGUGGUGAGGAGGACCAAAACAACAAAGCGAGAGCUAGAAAUGUUGUCAUUUCAAAUGUGGAAAAACCUCAGUACGUGCCAAAAGAUUUAAUUAGCUACGUUUUGAAAAGCUUUUAAAAACAAGUUUGUCAAAGUAGAGACCCAGCAGAAAGCUCAGUGACUGCCAGGGGUUGGGUUACGGAGGGAGGAGUAGGCGGAGAGCCCGGGAUUUUUAGGGCAGGGCAGCUCUCCCGCGUCAGGUGUGAUGGCGAGUACUUGACAUUGAGCACGUAUCCCGUCUCCCAGACCCUGCACCAGCGAGAAGGAGCUCUAACUCACCCUGUGGACUGUAGUUAAUAAUAACGAUUCACUAUUAUGGUUCACCCAAAUGACCCCACCGACGCCAGAUGUCAGUAACGGGGGAAAUUGCCGGGGUGGGGGUGGGGGGGAAGAGGUAGAAAGGGAAUAUUCUGGAAUUCUCUAAGCUUCCUGAUAACAUUUCUCCAUAUGCCUAAAUCUGCUCCGAAAACAAAAAUCUUUUUUUUUUUUCCUUUCUAAGUUUGGUUAUACCUCCAAUGUGAUGAGAGUUCGAAUGUGCGCAAAGGGUGCUGGGACACUUGUGCACAUACCCCCUGUAGCUUCCUUUCUCAACGUGGGUACAUAGUAUGAUCCCCUGGGGGUCUUAGGCCAGGCACCUGCUCAGGCGGGGAGUCUUGGUAUGUGCCCAAAGGGGUUCUGAACCCGGUUUCCAGUGUGGGGUUUCUCCAAACCAGCAAACAGCGCCGGGGCGCCUGCCGGGUGUCCUGCAGUUCAGCUGGGUUCCUUGAUUCUGAUGCUCUUCACUGGAGAUGGCGUUCAAAUCCACAGAUUAGGGGCUCAGUUUUACAGGACUGGACAACACCCCCCCCCCCCCCCCGGCGACUUCAUGUGUCAGUUGCACUUCCCGGUUGUCACCUCUCCUGACCGCCAGGCUAUACUUUGGGGGUUCCAGUGACACACACGCCCCUCCGUGGACUGCAGACACCUGUUAAAGUCUAGAUUGUUUUCUGACCGACUGGCUACAGAUCAGUUUUCCAUGACCUUCUCUCCCUUUGGAUUUGAUUAAUUUGCUAGAGCGACCCACUCAGAAACUCAGAAGAACUUUCCAC